rnacentral:tRNA from 1 species
UAGCUUAGUCGGUAAAGAAUCUGUCUGCAGUGCAGAAGACCCGGGUUUGAUCCCUGG